rnacentral:rRNA from 1 species
AUGUGUGAUCAGGUCGGCAUGGACCUGGACGACUUCCCACUUGACCACUAGUUUCUGGACGACUACGGGCAAGGGGAAGAGGACGAGUGCGACAUCGAAAUUUAGCCUUUGUUCGAGUACGAGCUCGCCAACCAAGCCGCCGGGCCGAAGCCGAAGCGCAAGAGCAAGUGGACGAAGGCAUACACGGCGGCCGAGGACAAGCUUCUUUGUGAGUGUUGGUGAGACAUUGGACAAGACCCCAAGACGAGGGCCGAACAAAAGCAUUCAACUUUUUGGAUUCGUGUCCACCGGGAGUUUCAUGAGCGCAAGAAGUUUCCGCCUUACCAAAUAGUGAGCACGCGGGGUGGGUGUUCAUUUUCAAAGCGAUGA